rnacentral:lncRNA from 1 species
CUGUCCACGGGGAAGUCCUGUCAUUUUAGAGAAGAACAAAGAUCUCCUCCAAGAAAACAAUAUAUCUCUUUUUCUGAUUUUAAGCAACAUGAUUAUGCUGUCCGUUGGUUACAUCACAAUCCCUGAAGAAGUAAUACAUUGGAGUGAGUGCUGGAUUUAAAGUAAAACAGUUGUGGAUUGGACCUCAGUUCAACUAUUGAUUAGCCAGGAGAUCUUAUAUAGUAUAUAGUUGCGGUAUAUUAAUUGCCUUAAUGACCUAAAUUGUUCACAUCUUUCUAGGUCCACCUAUUCUGAUUUUGCCUCUCAGCAUGUGACUUGAUUUGGUCACUGGGCAUUUUCAAAUAUAAUGCAAGCAGAGACCUGUAAAGCAUUUACAUAAUUAGAUUAGCCCUCUCUCUUCCAUCUGUACUGUUGUUCAUGAGAAUACGUCCACAUUAGCCAACUAGAGGAUGAAAUGCACAUUAAGCAGAACUGAGUUGUCCCAGUUGCCAAAUCCAAGGUCAUCAUAGGUGAGCCAGUGGUCAAUCAAUUCCCAACAAAUAAGUGAGCCUAGAAACAAUCAACGAGCCAACUUGUAGCUGAUUUGAGAUGCAAGGAUAAUCUAGUUGAGAUCACCUGGCUUCAGCCCAG